ensembl:lncRNA
GGGACGCAUAGACAUGCUGACGAUCAUGGCCAUGCGCUGGAACCAACAAAAAGUUUGACAACUUGGCUUCUACCCUUGCCCGCCGAUAUCGGAAGGCCACAAUAGCCCUGCAAUGCCAGUUGCAUAACCUGGAGGCCAUGAAAACGGAAAUGGGACGUCUCAGACAAUCAACUGGAGAGGUGGAUCAUUGAUAUCAAUGAGUGGGCAGAAGCAACAACAUCCCCAAAUGAUGCUGAUGUUGCCGCUGUUGCCAGCCGAAUUGAGGAGCUGGUGGCAAGUGUUAAGAGGAGGUCCCAGCGU